ensembl:lncRNA
CCCCACCAAUGGCUCCAGGACUGCUUUCUUCAUGGACGCCAUGAAAUCAGCUUCAAGUCUGCCUGCUCAAGCUGCGGGUUUCCCGGGUGACCAGGCGGGGCGGGGGAAGGGCUAGGCAGGCAGUUGGAGUCCAUGGAAGGCUCGGACCGAGCUCUACGCAGGCCCUUUACUCAUGCCCAGCCUCUCCACCACUCUUGGCAGAUUAUUAAAGCACACUUUUAGGUGUGUCUGGGUGGGCCAUGGGCCAUGUCGUUGGGCACUGUAUCUGGUCCCUGCUCUGUAUUCCCUGGCACUGUUCUGCCCUGCUUCCUGGCUGCCAUGAACCAGACAUCUUUGCUCUGCCACACCCUUCCACCAUGAUGUUUUUACCUUGGAGCCCGCCAACCAUGGACUAAAUCCAUUGAAACUAUUGUUUUCAGUGUGGAGCUGCUAUGAAUAUUCUCCAUGUCCUUUCCUGAACCUCUCUAUGAUUUAAAAGAGUGACUCAGAGGCAGAGAGAAAGGGAAGGAAGAAUGAAAUACUAAUAAUUUCAAA